AGAAUCAACGCUGGCGGCGUGCCUAACACAUGCAAGUCGAACGAGAAAGUGGAGCAAUCCAUGAGUAAAGUGGCGACCGGGUGAGUAACACGUGACUAACCUACCUUCGAGUGGGGGAUAACCUCGGGAAAACCGAGGCUAAUACCGCAUAACAUCGUGAGAUCAAAGCAGUAAUGCGCUGGAAGAGGGGGUCGCGGCUGAUUAGCUAGUUGGCGGGUAAUGGCCCACAAGGCGAAGAUCGGUA
rnacentral:rRNA from 1 species